GCAGUCGCCGCGGUAAUACCAGCAGCCCAAGUGGUGGUCGCGUUUAUUGGGCCUAAAGCGCUCGUAGCCUGGCCGGUAAGUUCCCCGUGAAAUCGGGUCGCCCAACGAUUCGGCUCGCGGGGAAUACUGUCGGUCUUGGGGCCGGGAGACGCCGAGGGUACUCCGGGGGUAGCGGUGAAAUGCUGUAAUCCUCGGGGGACUACCAGUGGCGAAGGCGCUCGGCGAUAACGGGCCUGACGGUGAGGGGCGAAAGCUGGGGGCGCGAACGGGAUUAGAUACCCGAGUAGUCCCUGUCUCUUAUA
rnacentral:rRNA from 1 species